UUUCACCGAGCCCAGGUAGAGCGGUCGGCCGGCUGGUCGGUGCUGGCCGUAGGUGGACAGGAGCGCCCGGGCUUC
rnacentral:antisense_RNA from 1 species